rnacentral:rRNA from 1 species
UACGUAGGGCGCAAGCGUUGUCCGGAAUUAUUGGGCGUAAAGAGCUCGUAGGCGGUUUGUCGCGUCUGCUGUGAAAACCUGAGGCUCAACCUCGGGCUUGCAGUGGGUACGGGCAGACUAGAGUGCGGUAGGGGUGACUGGAAUUCCUGGUGUAACGGUGGAAUGCGCAGAUAUCAGGAGGAACACCGAUGGCGAAGGCAGGUCACUGGGCCGCAACUGACGCUGAGGAGCGAAAGCGUGGGGAGCGAACAGG